rnacentral:rRNA from 1 species
UACGUAGGGUGCGAGCGUUGUCCGGAAUUAUUGGGCGUAAAGAGCUUGUAGGCGGUUUGUCGCGUCUGUCGUGAAAAUCCAUGGCUUAACUGUGGACGUGCGGUGGGUACGGGCAGGCUAGAGUGUGGUAGGGGAGACUGGAAUUCCUGGUGUAGCGGUGAAAUGCGCAGAUAUCAGGAGGAACACCGAUGGCGAAGGCAGGUCUCUGGGCCAUAACUGACGCUGAGAAGCGAAAGCAUGGGGAGCGAACAGG